rnacentral:misc_RNA from 1 species
GAUGAAGAACGUAGUGAAAUGCGAUACUUGGUGUGAAUUGCAGAAUCCCGUGAACCAUCGAGUCUUUGAACGCAAGUUGCGCCCGAAGCCAUUUGGUUGAGGGCACGUCUGCCUGGGCGUCACAUAUCGUUGCCCGAUGCCUAUUGCACUGUGAUAGGAAAUUCUAGGGCGAAAGAUGGCUUCCCGUGAGCGUUGUUGCCUCGCGGUUGGUUGAAAAUCGAGUCCUUGGUAGGGUGUGCCAUGAUAGAUGGUGGUCGAGUUUGCACGAGACCGAUCAUGUGUGCGCUCCCCAAAAUAUGGACUCUUUGACCCCACCCGCGUCUUUUGACGCUCAUGACGAGACCUCAGGUCAGGCGGGGCUACCCGCUGAGUUUAAGCAUAUCAAUAAGCGGAGGA